AUUGAACGCUGGCGGAAUGCUUUACACAUGCAAGUCGAGCGGCAGCGCGGGGGCAACCCUGGCGGCGAGCGGCGAACGGGUGAGUAACAUAUCGGAACGUACCCCGUCGAGGGGGAUAACACAGCGAAAGCUGUGCUAAUACCGCAUACGACCUGAGGGUGAAAGCGGGGGAUCGCAAGACCUCGCGCGAUGGGAGCGGCCGAUAUCGGAUUAGCUUGUUGGUGAGGUAAAGGCUCACCAAGGCGACGAUCCGUAGCUGGUCUGAGAGGACGACCAGCCACACUGGAACUGAGACACGGUCCAGACUCCUACGGGAGGCAGCAGUGGGGAAUUUUGGACAAUGGGGGCAACCCUGAUCCAGCCAUUCCGCGUGAGUGAAGAAGGCCU
rnacentral:rRNA from 1 species